GAUGAACGCUGGCGGCGUGCCUAAUACAUGCAAGUCGAGCGAACAGACGAGGAGCUUGCUCCUUUGACGUUAGCGGCGGACGGGUGAGUAACACGUGGAUAACCUACCUAUAAGACUGGGAUAACUUCGGGAAACCGGAGCUAAUACCGGAUAAUAUAUUGAACCGCAUGGUUCAAUAGUGAAAGACGGUUUUGCUGUCACUUAUAGAUGGAUCCGCGCCGCAUUAGCUAGUUGGUAAGGUAACGGCUUACCAAGGCAACGAUGCGUAGCCGACCUGAGAGGGUGAUCGGACACACGGGAACUGAGACACGGUCCAGACUCCUACGGGAGGCAGCAGUAGGGAAUCUUCCGCAAUGGGCGAAAGCCUGACGGAGCAACGCCGCGUGAGUGAUGAAGGUCUUCGGAUCGUAAAACUCUGUUAUUAGGGAAGAACAAAUGUGUAAGUAACUAUGCACGUCUUGACGGUACCUAAUCAGAAAGCCACGGCUAACUACGUG
rnacentral:rRNA from 1 species